UAGGGAAUCUUCCGCAAUGGACGCAAGUCUGACGGAGCAACGCCGCGUGAGUGAAGAAGGAUUUCGGUUCGUAAAACUCUGUUGUUAGAGAAGAACAGCGCAUAGAGUAACUGUUAUGCGUGUGACGGUAUCUAACCAGAAAGCCACGGCUAACUACGUGCCAGCAGCCACGGUAAUACGUAGGUGGCAAGCGUUGUCCGGAUUUAUUGGGCGUAAAGCGAGCGCAGGCGGUCAAUUAAGUCUGAUGUGAAAGCCCCCGGCUCAACCGGAGCGGGUCGUUGGAACCUGGUUGACUUGAGUGCAGAAGAGGAGAGUGGAAUUCCAUGUGUAGCGGUGAAAUGCGUAGAUAUAUGGAGGAACCCCAGUGGCGAAGGCGACUCUCUGGUCUGUAACUGACGAUGAGGCUCGAAAGCGUGGGUAGCAAACAGG
rnacentral:rRNA from 1 species